rnacentral:sRNA from 1 species
CCUGGGGUUGAAACCCCGGGCUAUUAUCUGUCGCCCCUAUCGGGGCU